UUCCCACUUCUCCUCACGGCGUUACCUUCCUGCCGUUCCCACUUCUCCUCAAUGGUGUUUCCUUCCCGCCUUUCCCACUUCUCACCAGCGUUACCUUCCCGCCAUUCCUACUUCUCCUCAACGACGUUACCUUCCCUCUGUUCCCACUUCUCACUGGCGUUACCUUCAUGCUGUUCCUACUUCUCCUCAUGCCAUUACCUUCCUGCCAUUCCCACUUCUCCUCACGCAUUACCUUCCUGCUGUUCCCAAUUCUCUCUGGCGUUACCUUCCUGCUGUUCUGCCGUUCACGCGUGUUUAUAUGUGUUUGCAUGUGUUUACAUGUGUUUGCAUGUGCCUGUGUCUGCAUAUGCGCAUUUCCCUGAAUCGACGGAGGGGGUCAGGACGCCUCCUCCCCACUAGCUGUGCUGACCUGGGAGCAGCAGGUUCGGCCCUCACCCCAGGUAGGACGUGCCCCCUCCUUGAUAUGCCCACUUCAGCGAAUCACGUGUGGCCUGAGGGCUCUGCUCAAGGGCCCUAGCCAGGAAACAGCCUGCUGGGAGGCCAACCAGGUGCCCCCACACCUGUGGUGGACAUUGACUCCCUCCAGGCGGUGGCUGAGGGCAGCCCCAGCCAAGUCUGUGCCAGCCGAGGCUGCUGGGGACCCUUCCUCUCCCCCUUCCCUGUUCUGUUCUUCCUUCCCACCCUUCCUCCUCCCUCCCUCCUUUUCUUUUUUUGGGUUUCACCUUAGACUAAGUAAACACACUGGCCUGAAUUAUGUAAGCCCCUCUUGCAGCCUGGGCAGAUACAUUUAAAAAUAAAACUUGUCAGGUGUUGUUACCUUCCAGCCUCCUCAAAGCUGAGCUCUCCAAUCUCAGGACUAUUUACAGCCACACCAGCAGCAGUGCUGACUCGGCACCACAGGCGCGGCCUCUUGUGGGGAAGGAGCAGGGACCCUCCACCGUGCUUGGUUUCUUUCCCCACCUUCCUCUCGGUGGGGCUGGGAGUGGGGUGAUUUGGAAACACUCAGAGGGUUUAGACAUGAAUGAGUCUGGUCGAAUUCCCCACUCUGGACAGCGAGUCCAGGCACUGCCUGGCGGUCUGGUCGGGGUUCCUGGGGGGAGGUUCAGAGCAGGGUAUGGCAGGAGCAAGACCCGGGUGUCUUGUGUCCCCGAAAGGAGCAAGAGGAGGCAGCAGGAAACCCGGACGGCGCUGAGCGGAGGCCUGGGCGCACGUCCUGGAGGAAGAGGCAUCGUUACCAGGAGUGCCCGAGGCACAGUGCACAGAUGGGCUGGUACAGGGUCCUGGGAGCACUGCGGGACCGGGCAGGGCUCUGCUGAGCCUCAGGAGAGGGAGGGCGCUGGUUCCCGCAUCCUGUCCCCCUCCCCUGGUGAUCUGCCAAGGGGAGCAGCCCAGGGAGGGGGAGCUGGGAGUCAGGGAGCGCUGUCCUUCAUGAGUACAAAUCCAAAUCCCAGGCCGGCUCCCCAGGAGCAUAGGCUGCAAGGACAGGGCACCAGCUGUUUAUUUGGGUCAGGACUCAGGGGAGGGGGAAGAUCACCCCAGGAGCAGAGCUGUCCACCCACUUGGUCCCUGGAUCCCCCAGGUCCUGGAGGGCCUGACCUCAAGGAACUGACUCUGCCUGGGCUGGUAGGGCUCUGACCCCUGGCUUCCGUGCGGCCAGAGACCGCCAAACACGAGUGAGGGGCAGUUUAAUUGUCUGCUGUGGUCUUAAAAACCAGGAGGCCCAGAGUCGCAGCAAUCGGCCGUGCUUCUUUAGAGGCCCCUCCCUCCGCCUCCCACAGGGCAGCCACUCCAGCACCCCUUUCAGGUUCUUCCCCAGCCCAGGCCCUGCUCCCUGGCCCUCCCUCUUGCUACUGGUUCCCGACACUCACGUUCCUCCCACGGGACCACGACUGAGACAGCACACGAGGGCCCACUGUGAGUAUCUGGGGCCCGUUUUAUGCACAAAGAGCCCGGCACUCGCCAUCAGAUCCAUCUCCUACCUGCUCUAAGCCACACUGCCCUCCUGCCAGGCUGGUAGGGUCUCUGGGGCUGGGCUGGGUAGACGGGGCUGCGCAGCUGGAGACGUGCCCACCUCCCUGCCUGUGACCCCAUCCAGGUGCCCUGACUCAGGCACUGGCGACCAGUCCUGAGGUUGCUCAGCACAGCCCCUCCCUCACCGCUGCCCCCAAGCCAUCGCUUGCCAGAGGCUGGCUUGCUGUCUUCACGGCUCUGGGAAGUCACUUCGGAGAAACUGACCUCUGAGUGGGAAAGUGACUCACUCGCCGAGGUUCAGGACGGACUCGGCGGCAAGGGCGUCUUGGAGGGAGGUCUCGAGUGCCAGGGUUCUCCUCUCAUCUCCUCCCAUCCAGCACCGUGUACUGAAGUUGCCUGCCUCUUUCCUCAUGUCAGGGACAGCCCCGUCCCCCAGCACACAAGGAUGACAGUAUGUCCUGGUAGCCAGCGAGGCCCAGAUCCCACACCUGGCCACACGCACCAGCGUGGCCUCCAGGAGAGGGUGUGAGGUCUCCUCCGGCUGUCCACGGUGGGCCCAGACAUAGGAUCUUCCCCUGUGGGGAGGACGGGGGGCAGCCCACCCUGGGAAGAGGGGUGAGCCACCCACAGAGAAUGAGGCUAGGCCCACUUGGGCCUGAGGGCAUGGCCUGCACCCAGCUGGGCAGGCUGGGCAGGGGCAGACUGGAUGGGAAUGGGAGCUGAGGCUGCCCUGGAGGGGUUGGAGCUGUGCCCACUGGGGAUGGAUGGACACCCCUGGAUGACGGACACCCCUGGAUGACGGACACCCCUGGUCAGCCAGUGGCCCAGCUCAUGCCCCUGUCCGGAGGCCCAGCCCAGCCCAGCACACACAAAGCCAGGCGUCAGGGCUCAGGCACAGAGCACGGCCAUGGCCAGAUGUACCCGGGCCCCUCUGGGGAGUGUGCAGGGGCCGCCCGGGGUGGGCUCUGGGUGCCGGGUCCUGCCUCGGUGCUGAGGACAUCAGCCCAGGUCCCCACUGCCCUUGACCCAGGGGGCUGACACCCCCCAGUGCAGAAAGAAUGGCCCAAGGGGGUUGGCGGGGGUGCUCCAUGGAGAAGGGGCUAUCUGAGCCCCUCAGGCACCCUCUGCCAGCCAUGCCUGCCCUGAGCGGCUGCCCUGCAGCACCUGGACUGUCCCUUUGGGACGGGCCUCGGUCCCUCUCCCCAGGGGAUUUGCUGUACAGCCCCACAGGGACGCCCAAGGGAUCACUAUCUUUGUGGCUGGAGGAAGAAGACACGUGUGGCAGUGGCCAUGUGGUCUUGUUGGGAGUGGCCACCUGCCCUCCUGGGGUCUCCAGGCCAGAGGCCAGGCCACAGGCCAACCAAGGACAGCCUGGCCAUCCGGCCCUAGCCGGGCUGGACCUCCUGUGUGGAUUCUGAAAUCCACCGGCUUCCCAGGGUUGUCAACCCCUGGGCUCUCGCUCCUGUGGGGAUGGGUAUUUCCCUCUCUGGCGAGACAUUUCCAAAUUCAGAGGCUGUGGUUUGAUGGCUGGGGUCCUGUGGUGCCGGGCUGUGCCUUCCAGAGGCGCCAGCUUCAGGCUGUGACUGGUGACGAGAAUCUAGGUCAACCCACGCCGCUCACAGCCUCCUUCCAGCGUGUCAUUGUCCCAGCCUCGUCCACACACAGCUCCCCCAAAACCCUGCAGCGUCAUUUCUGUUCUGACUCCAGGUGGGCUCUGCCGCUGCCUGUGAGAUGAGGCCAGAUCCUCGCCGCCCGCACCUGCCUCUCCCCAACUCGCCCUGCGCGGGACAGGUGGACGCCGCCCACACCUACCUCUCCCCCACUCACCCUGCCCGGGAGAGGUGGACGCUGUCUGCACCUGCCUCUCCCCAACGCGCCCUGCCCGGGAGAGGUGGAUGCCGCCCGCACCUGCCUCUCCCCCACUCUCCCUGCCUGGGAGAGAUGGACGCCGCCUGUGCCUGCCUCUCCCCGACUUGCCCUGCCCAGGAGAGGUGGAUACCAAGCAUGUUCUUGGCAACUUGCUGCCCACACACGGUGCGGUCCAGGCUGCAGCGUCACAGCCCUGGAGCCUGCUGGGAGUGCACAGCCCAAUAGCCACCCCAGCCCCUCUUCGAGGGCAGAUUCCCAUCAGCCUGAGCUGCCUGCAGGAUGAGUACAGGGGUCCCUCCGCAGGGCAGAGCCAGGAGCUGUGGAAAUGCUCUUUGCAGAGGCCCCACCUAGAUGCCCCACGGGGGUGUCCCCUGGCUGAGUCCACAGGGAGGGUUGAGGCUGCCUCGGCCAUGUCUGCGGCGCACGUCCCCGGUGCACAUCCCCGGCGCAGGCUGUGUCUCCUCGCAGCCCCAACUGACUUCCUUUCCUUCCUGUGGUCUGCACUUCCACCAUCCUUACCCCCUCCUUAUCCUCAGAGACACCUCCUGACACCCUCCUCCAUGCUCUGCCCUGGUUGGGAUGCCUCUUGGGCUGUUCCGGGCCCCAGGCUAGAGCCACUGCCUCUGUUUCUCUGGGUGAGUCCUUGCCCUGCUGCAGGAAACCUCCGCGUGCUGUCUAAGAAGUCGUGCAAACUGGCCAGGCCUGGAAGGGCUGAGGCAUCCUUUCUCCCUGAUGGAUGGUUUGCGUGAGUAUAAAAUUCAAGGCUGGAAGCCAGAUUCCUGUGGAAUUUGGAAGGCCCGGCUCCAUUGUCUUCCGGCUCCAGCGUUGUUGAGGCGAAGUCUGACGUCCAUGCAGACUCUGAUUCCCGUGUGGGGACAGCCCUGGGGUCCUGCCGUCCUGGGACAUCGCUCCGGCACCCCUACGCUGCUUCUUGAAACGUUUCUGUCGACUUCCCACCUCCCGGGAAUUUGUUGAAUCUUUUUUCUGUGAAUGCCAGUUCUGUCUUCCUCACGGCUGGUUAAUUCCCUUCUGCUCCUUAACUGUCAUCGCAUGGGGUUAAUGAGAGGAGGAGAGAAAACGUCUGUGGUUUCGUUUUCCUUCCUGGAUUUCGACAAUGUGGAUGCGUCCUUGGGGGAAAGGUGGGCUCGGGAUCCAGGCAUAGACCGUGCGGGGGCCUCUCCAGGAGCCAGUGUGGGGGAGUCCAGCGCAGCAGGGCCAGGGCCAGGUGGGGCAGAGUGAAGACACCAGGGCACCGCGGGGCCAGUGAGUUUGUUGCCUCAGCUGAGACAAAGUCUCAGCAAAUCAUCAGUGUUCCUCUUCUGUGAGGUCUUUCCACGCACCAGGCCAGGGUGUCAUCACCAGACCCCUCCGGUGCUGAAGGAUCUCCCCGGAAAAUAGAUAUUAAUUGCUUUUCA
rnacentral:lncRNA from 1 species